rnacentral:tRNA from 1 species
AUUUAUAUAGUUUAAAAAAACAUUACAUUUUCAUUGUAAAAAUAAAAAUUUUUUUUUUAUAAGUA